GCAGAACUUCCUUUUCACCGGAGCUUGCUCCACCGGGAAAAGAGGAGUGGCGAACGGGUGAGUAACACGUGGGUAACCUGCCCAUCAGAAGGGGAUAACACUUGGAAACAGGUGCUAAUACCGUAUAACAAUCGAAACCGCAUGGUUUCGUUUUGAAAGGCGCUUUACGGUGCCGCUGAUGGAUGGACCCGCGGUGCAUUAGCUAGUUGGUGAGGUAACGGCUCACCAAGGCCACGAUGCAUAGCCGACCUGAGAGGGUGAUCGGCCACAUUGGGACUGAGACACGGCCCAAACUCCUACGGGAGGCAGCAGUAGGGAAUCUUCGGCAAUGGACGAAAGUCUGACCGAGCAACGCCGCGUGAGUGAAGAAGGUUUUCGGAUCGUAAAACUCUGUUGUUAGAGAAGAACAAGGGUGAGAGUAACUGUUCACCCCUUGACGGUAUCUAACCAGAAAGCCACGGCUAACUACGUGCCAGCAGCCGCGGUAAUACGUAGGUGGCAAGCGUUGUCCGGAUUUAUUGGGCGUAAAGCGAGCGCAGGCGGUUUCUUAAGUCUGAUGUGAAAGCCCCCGGCUCAACCGGGGAGGGUCAUUGGAAACUGGGAGACUUGAGUGCAGAAGAGGAGAGUGGAAUUCCAUGUGUAGCGGUGAAGGGGCGUAGAUA
rnacentral:rRNA from 1 species